GGAAUCUGUUGGUUAUCUAGUGGACUCUGGCAAAGUAUCAGGCAUGCUUGUACCACGUGUUAAUUUAAGUGAUGACUUGUGUGAUAGGAGACACCCACAUUCUGGUAAAGGAUAUGCAUAAACGGAAGUUUUUCUAUUAAUUUUUCUGACUCUGGGUACCACCACUCCCUGGCGAUCACUUUCUGUAAGCAUUGCUUCCAUCUGAUCCUUGAAGGCCUUCCAACUGCAAAUCAGAAGUAGACAUUGUGUCAUCAUCGACUAACACAAUCUUGUUUACAAUGACCCCUCACCAAAAUCCUGGAGUUCUACUUUGUCCUUAGAAAAGGCCCAGAAACAACUGCCUCAGAUUUCUAAACUCCAGCUUUUAGCCUGCAACCCAAGCAUAUCUUACAAAACAUACAUCACUUUUACCGCAAGCUCCUAAGUCAGUUAAAAAAAACCUUCAUAUUUAAAAAUAAUUUAAAAAAAAAAAACUCUUCUAUAGUUUAACUGUGAUGUUCAACCCACGCCAUGUAACUAGAGCAUUCCAAUUAGCCCAAUCAAUAGGACUUCUACUUUAAGUAACAAACCACAGAUUCUAAGUGCGACACUGCCACCCUAUCUCUAUCCCUAUGAGUUACCAAACAUCAUGAUACGCACUAUUUCCUAUUGAAUUACGGUCUGGCAAAAGUCAUAAUAUCAAGUGGUCAAGAUAGAAGGGUCAAGUCAAAAUUUUGAAACACUAUCUGACAUGCAUAAAUUCCUUGAAACAUCAGUAGUAAUGAGGAAUAAUGCAUGGGUAAGAUACCUGAUUUCCAUAUCCUGCAGGAGAACA
rnacentral:misc_RNA from 1 species